UACAUAAGAGCAACCAAGUGCCGAGUGGCGAGUGGCAACAACAACUGGCCGAAUCCAUUGAAGUAUUGAUGGUCGAAUCAAUGUAGCGGCAACGUUGUUGCCAGCGUUGCUGGCCAUUAGCCGACAUGUCGUAUGCUCCCUCGCCUAGGGCCAUAGAUGCUCCACCCAACCGUUAAUGUCUCGGUUCAGUUACAAUAACGGAAAUGAGUUUUAAUGUGAAAAUAAUUGCAUGUCAUUGACGUUGACAACAGCAACAGAAACAGACACAUCCAGGUCCUUCUCGGGAUCUACAUAUACGUAUGUAUGUACAAAGGGGGCGAAACAAUGAACGAAUAUUGAUAUAAUAUCAUUAAAUUUCAUUUCAUAUUUGCUUUCUGAUGAAUGACAGUCAGUCCAAGUUGCUUUUGCCACUGAUUCUUGGUCUUCACCUCUGGCCAAAUGAUGGAAAUGGAAAUGCAAAACCUUGACUCACAUCUCGCCGAAGAGCAAAAGGCGAGGCUUUUCUUUUGAUUCAUAAUUUCCGGCCAUAAUUAAAAUGUGAAAUUCACAAGUCCAUUGAAAUACGGGUUUCUCCUUCAGCCUUCUCAAAGUAUUUAUAUUUGAUUUAUGUGGAAAAAAGACCUUCAACAUUUCCACAAAAUAAAAAGAACAAAUUAAUUUUAGUUUACGAUAUUAUGCCUCAGAAUGCUUUUCAUAGUAAACUUUGCCAAAAACGUAGUGGAGUAGGGCUUCUCUUCCAUAUUUGAGAAGCAAAAUUUUUUGCCAGGAUAACCCCAGGUUUGAGUAGUGAAUACUGAAUAUCCGUCAAUCAUAAAUUUUGAUUACAAUUUGUAAGGCCACAGUCGACAAACAAAUUGAGGCGAAUGACAAAAUAGAUUAUCACUGCAAAAACAGGAAAAUGAAAAUGGCUAAAAAACAUCCUCAGCACGUCUCUGGACAAGAAAUGAGUUGAGAUUGGACUAAAAAGAUGAAGACACAACCUAACAAACAAACAAACAAUCAAAUUGACCUUAGGGCGGAGAUUGCGAGCCGGAAUAUUUGGCAUUAAAAUAAAUAAUACAUUUAUUCGACGACAAACCGUCACAUUUCAAGGAUUUUGCACGCUGGCCACACGUUUCGGCAAUUUCCGGGCAACAAAACCGGAAAAAUACUUUAAAAUGUAAUAAAUUUGGGAAGAACCUGGAGCAGGGGCGAUGGUGAUUUCGAUGGCGGAGUCCCGGCCUGUCCCUGUCCCAGUCUGUUUGUUUGUGUCAAGGGUCGACAGCUGUGCAGGCGGGGCGGGUCAAAUGUGAGUGCUUGACAAACUGUUGCCGGGACCAAAUCAAUGGCAAAAAAUUACACACGGAUGCCUUGGGGCACUCCUGAAGAGAUUUGCAAACGCAAAAUUCGGCUCAUUUCUGUGGGGUGGG